rnacentral:lncRNA from 1 species
GUGAGAUAUCUUGUAUAUAGCUUUACAUAGUCAUUAAUACUCAAUGAAUUUUUGUUGCUACUUUUUUUAUACCUGAACUUAUUUUAUACUUAUUUUAAUAUUUGUCUUUUUAAAUUCUGUUAUUUCCAAAUAAUCAUUGCCCUACUAUUAAGGCAAGAAAGAAUUUAAAUCAUUUGUCUCAGUUCAUGCUUUUUUGUAUCUUAAGGGAAUUUUGAUGAUUCUCUUUAUUCUGAGGUCAAAUCUAUACCCAUGAUGUCAUAAACAGGUUCUAGAUCUUCAAGUCUGGCCAAGAAAAUUAAUUACUCAAAACCUCAAGUUCCUUCUGGAAAAUAAGCUUAAUUAUCUGUAGUGAGUCUUAAAUAAGAUGAAAUAUAUCCAGUGUUUAAGAAAUAGCAUAGAAAACCUUCACCAACGAGAAGUUAUUACUUUUAUUCUAGACUCCAGGGAUGAUUUACAGACUACAAAAAGAAAUAUCCCCUCUCAGAUUAGUUUAAGUAGUUUUGUUAUCUACUGAUUUUGUUUUGGACAUUCUUCAUGGCACUGAUGAUAGGAUAAUCAGGAAUUGUUUCUACUCUCAAGGAAAAUCAGGAAAUUGUUUCUACUCUCAAGGAAUUGUUUCUACUCUCAAGUCUGUUUCAGACUACAGGAGAGAGAGAACACACAUUCUAAUGAAUAAUAACUCAAUGCGAUGUGUACUUUAUAAAAGCAUGUAACAUAAAGAAGUGUAUAGGAGAAGGAGUGAUUCACCACUAUUGGAGGCGGGGAAAAUUGGAAUAACAAGCUACUUAUCAUGAGCAAACUUGUUAUGGGCAAGUUCGAGAAGAAUGAAUGUUUGUGCACCAGCUAUCAAGGUGUGAAGAAGGGAAGAAAAUUCCAGCCCUCAGUGAUGAGCAUAUGGAGAUUUGACCCAGGCCCACAUGGACCUACUGAUACCAAAGAACAGGCAGGUACUGGGGCUUAGGGAAUUAUGCUUCUAAGGGAAAUACCUUAUCUACUAAUGAUAUUGUGUGUCUCUUUUUUUAUUUUGAUAGUUAUCAAUGAAUUGCUUUCAAAAAGUUUGUAGCAAUUUAAAAUCAACUAAAAAUCCUCAGCAAUAUUUGGUAUUAUUUAAUAUUUACCAAUCUAACAGGCAAAUAAGAGUUCCCUAAUUGUUUAAAAUUGCAUCACUGUAAACAUGGAUAAAGUUGAGAAGUUUUUUUCCAUAAGUUUAUGGACCAUUUAUAUAUAUAUAUAUUACCUCUAAACUUUUAUAUACAUAAGCUACCCAUUUCUAGGAGUUAAUAUUUAUUAAAGCAGCAAUAAAAUGCGAUGAGAUCUUGCCA